rnacentral:rRNA from 1 species
AUUGAACGCUGGCGGCAGGCCUAACACAUGCAAGUCGAGCGGAUGAAGGGAGCUUGCUCCUGGAUUCAGCGGCGGACGGGUGAGUAAUGCCUAGGAAUCUGCCUGGUAGUGGGGGAUAACGUCCGGAAACGGGCGCUAAUACCGCAUACGUCCUGAGGGAGAAAGUGGGGGAUCUUCGGACCUCACGCUAUCAGAUGAGCCUAGGUCGGAUUAGCUAGUUGGUGGGGUAAAGGCCUACCAAGGCGACGAUCCGUAACUGGUCUGAGAGGAUGAUCAGUCACACGGGAAGUGGGACACGGUCCGAACCCCUAGGGGAGGGCGCGGGGGGGAAUUUGGGACAAUGGUCAAAAGCGUGACCCAGCCAGGCCGCUGGUGAGAAGAAGGUUUUCGGUUUUUAAACUUUUUUAAGUUGGGAGGAAGGGCAGUAAGUUAAUACUUUGCUGUUUUGACGUAACCAAAAAAAAAAGCACGGACUAACUUCGUG